rnacentral:rRNA from 1 species
UUGAGCGGAGAUAUAUGGAGCUUGCUUUAUAUAACUUAGCAGCGAACGGGUGAGUAACACGUAGAUAAUCUAUCCUAUACUGGGGGAUAGCCCGAUGAAAGUUGGAUUAAUACCGCAUAUAGCUAUAUAGUUGCAUGAUUAUGUAGUGAAAGAUUUAUUGGUAUAGGAGGAGUCUGCGGCACAUUAGCUAGUAGGUGAGGUAAAGGCUUACCUAGGCGACGAUGUGUAGCCGGUCUGAGAGGAUGAACGGCCACAAUGGAACUGAGACACGGUCCAUACUCCUACGGGAGGCAGCAGUGGGGAAUAUUGCACAAUGGGGGAAACCCUGAUGCAGCAACGCCGCGUGAGUGAAGAAGGUUUUCGGAUUGUAAAGCUCUGUUAGCAGGGAAGAGGAAGGACGGUACCUGCAGAGGAAGCCACGGCUAACUACGUGCCAGCAGCCGCGGUAAUACGUAGGUGGCAAGCGUUGUUCGGAAUAACUGGGCGUAAAGGAUGCGUAGGCGGUUAAACAAGUUAUAUGUUAAAUAUAUAGGCUUAACCUGUAGAAAGCAUAUAAAACUGUUUAACUAGAGUGCAGGAGAGGUAAGUGGAAUUCCUAGUGUAGCGGUGAAAUGCGUAGAGAUUAGGAAGAACACCAGUGGCGAAGGCGACUUACUGGACUGUAACUGACGCUGAGGCAUGAGAGCAUGGGGAGCAAACAGGAUUAGAUACCCUGGU